GGAUUAGAUACCCUGGUAGUCCACGCCGUAAACGAUGUCUACUAGCCGUUGGGAUCCUUGAGAUCUUAGUGGCGCAGCUAACGCACUAAGUAGACCGCCUGGGGAGUACGGUCGCAAGAUUAAAACUCAAAUGAAUUGACGGGGGCCCGCACAAGCGGUGGAGCAUGUGGUUUAAUUCGACGCAACGCGAAGAACCUUACCUGGUCUUGACAUCCUCAGAACUUUCCAGAGAUGGAUUGGUGCCUUCGGGAACUGAGUGACAGGUGCUGCAUGGCUGUCGUCAGCUCGUGUUG
rnacentral:rRNA from 1 species